rnacentral:lncRNA from 1 species
CUAUCUCUCUGGCUCUCAAGCAUUUCAGAGUCUCGGUGACCGGCUCCACGUUCUCGUGUUGACAGACAAUAUGGCUGCAAAGGCACACGUUAACAGAUGGGAACGAGAUCCAAGGCACUUACAAGGGAGGCAGAACAUUUGGGGUUAUGGGCAGAGAAACACCUGUCAAUCUCGGCGGAUUUCCGGAGUUGACAAUCCCCAAGCCAACUGGCUGAGCAGGAGUUUAGUCGACCAGGCAGAAUGGUCCAUUCCUCUGUCCCUAUUCAGGGAUCUUUCUCUCAGAUUCGGAAUUCCAGAGGUGGAUCUCUUCUCCACUCCUCAAAAUGCCCAAGUCAACAGAUUGUUCACCAGUAUUCCUUGCCAGGAGCGGAGGGGACCAAUGCUCUUUGUUGCAAUGGCCUGUGGGUCUCCUCUACGCCUUUCCCCGCUUCCCAUCAUUCCAGCAGUCAUACGGAAGCUGUUGGCGGAACGAGCGGAGCUAAUUCUCCUGGCACCCAUUGGCCAAAGAGGCCCUGGUUGCAGACCUGUCUGUGGCUUCUUCCCCUUGGAGGAUCUAGGCCCAUCUCAUCUCCCUGCACCAAGGGCCCUGAUCUAUCUGGAUCCCCUGUGGCUCAAGCUGACCAUGUGGCAUUUGAGUGGCAGCAGCAAAGGGAGGGUAAUCUCCCAGAGGGGGUUAUCCUCACCAUCCAGGCGUCUUGCAAACCUACGGCACAUCUAUGAUGCCACCUGGAGGGUUUUCUCCCAUGGUGCCUCAAGGAGAGUCCUCUCUCCUUCCUCAGCCCAGUUGAGAGGUUCUUAGAUUCCUUCAGGAUGACUUGGAGAAAGUUUUCGCCCCAAAUACCUUACGUCGCCAGGUAGUGGCUCUCUCCUCAGUUCUUUCAUGGGUUUGCUUCCUUCCUUGUUCCAUCACCCCUCGGUCAGGAGAUUUUUGAAAGUGGCUUCCAACCAACACCCUCCUGUAGUGCAAAGGUAUCCUUCAUGGGCCUUCACUUGGUUUCUUAAUGCGCUUACGAAGCCCCCCUUUGAACCCUUAGA